CGAGUAGAAGCCCGCUGGUUAGGGUAAUUAGCUGUUAACUAAUUUUUGUGGGAUCAAGGCCCACUUGCUCC
rnacentral:tRNA from 1 species